UGCCAGCAGCCGCGGUAAUACGGAGGGUCCAAGCGUUAUCCGGAAUCAUUGGGUUUAAAGGGUGCGUAGGCGGGAAAUUAAGUCAGUGGUGAAAUCCUACAGCUCAACUGUGGAACUGCCAUUGAAACUGAUUUUCUUGAAUUUAGUCGAAGUGGGCGGAAUGUGUCAUGUAGCGGUGAAAUGCAUAGAUAUGACACAGAACACCGAUUGCCAAGGCAGCUCACUAGCCUAAUAUUGACGCUCAGGCACGAAAGCGUGGGGAGCAAACAGGAUUAGAUA
rnacentral:rRNA from 1 species